GACGAACGCUGGCGGCGUGCUUAACACAUGCAAGUCGAACGAAGAGCGAUGUAAGCUUGCUUCUAUCAAUCUUAGUUGCGAACGGGUGAGUAACGCGUAAUCAACCUUCCCUUCAGAGGGGGACAACAGUUGUAAACGACUGCUAAUACCGCAUACGAUCCAAUCUCUGCAUCGGGACUGGAUGAAAGGUUGCCUCUAUUUAUAAGCUAUCACUGAAGGAGGGGAUUGCGUCUGAUUAGCUAGUUGGAGGGGUAACGGCCCACCAAGGCGAUGAUCAGUAGCCGGUCUGAGAGGAUGAACGGCCACAUUGGGACUGAGACACGGCCCAGACUCCUACGGGAGGCAGCAGUGGGGAAUCUACCGCAAUGGACGAAAGUAUGACGGAGCAACGCCGCGUGAGUGAUGACGGCCUUCGGGUUGUAAAGCUAUGUUAAUCGGGACGAAUGGUUCUUGUGCGAAUAGUGCGAGGAUUUGACGGUACCGGAAUAGAAAGCCACGGCUAACUACGUG
rnacentral:rRNA from 1 species